UGUAAAAUCCCUUUUCCCUGAUCAACAUACCUGGAAAGGAGAGACACAAGUUCAUUGCGGUGAGCGGAGAGUGUAUCCUCGACACGUUCUCUAACGCUGGGGCUACGAGCAAACUUCUUGGGAGUGGCGGCCAUGGAAAAAGCUUGAAAACUCAGUCAAUGGAGAUACAGAAAGCUCCAAAGGAAGAUACAACAUGAAGCAAAA
rnacentral:misc_RNA from 1 species